AGUGAACGCUGGCGGUAGGCCUAACACAUGCAAGUCGAACGGCAGCACAGAGGAGCUUGCUCCUUGGGUGGCGAGUGGCGGACGGGUGAGGAAUACAUCGGAAUCUACUCUGUCGUGGGGGAUAACGUAGGGAAACUUACGCUAAUACCGCAUACGACCUACGGGUGAAAGCAGGGGACCUUCGGGCCUUGCGCGAUUGAAUGAGCCGAUGUCGGAUUAGCUAGUUGGCGGGGUAAAGGCCCACCAAGGCGACGAUCCGUAGCUGGUCUGAGAGGAUGAACAGCCACACUGGAGCUGAGACACGGUCCAGACUCCUACGGGAGGCAGCAGUGGGGAAUAUUGGACAAUGGGCGCAAGCCUGAUCCAGCCAUACCGCGUGGGUGAAGAAGGCCUUCGGGUUGUAAAGCCCUUUUGUUGGGAAAGAAAUCCAGCUGGCUAAUACCCGGUUGGGAUGACGGUACCCAAAGAAUAAGCACCGGCUAACUUCGUGCCAGCCGCCGCAGUAA
rnacentral:rRNA from 1 species